AUUGAACGCUAGCGGGAUGCUUAACACAUGCAAGUCGAACGAGUGGCGGACGGGUGAGUAAUAUAUCGGAAAGUGCCCAAUAGCGGGGGAUAACUACUAGAAAGAGUGGCUAAUACCGCAUACGAUUGGAGCGGCAGAAAUUGGAUUAGCUAGUUGGUGGGGGAAAGGCUAACCAAGGCAACGAUCCGUAGCGGGUCUGAGAGGACGACCAGCCACACGGGAACUGAGACACGGCCCAGACUCCUACGGGAGGCCGCAGUGGGGAAUUUUGGACAAUGGGGGAAACCCUGAUCCAGCCAUCCCGCGUGUAUGAGAAGGCCUUCGGGUUGUAAAGUACUUUUGGCAGCGAAGCGGUAUCUGCAGAAUAAGCACCGGCUAACUACGUGCCAGCAGCCGCGGUAAUUC
rnacentral:rRNA from 1 species